CCUUUUCGUUGUUUCCUUUAAGUUGAUUGAUUCACUUAGUUAUCUCUUUCACUUAUUCGCCUUGUAACUAUCUAUGCAGUCAAUCAGGUUUCGAAGGCCAACCAAGUGGGAAUAAUUUGGAGGGUCAAGGAUAUCCAACCAAGCUUUCCUUAGAGAAACCAGUAGUAAUUUUUAUCUGUUGUUGAGUGUGUUAAGCAUGAAGCCUUUCAAAAGCUCUUACUUGCAAGUGUAUUCCUCCUAAUUCAGGUUAUAUAUGUGGACGUGUUCUUUAUUUUUCACCAUCUUCUUUGUAUCUGUUAUAGUUACCAUGUAAGAUGUUUGAAUACUAUUGUUGAGAGGUUGGUUUUUUGUUUUUCUUGGAGAAGAAACGAUAACACUUCAGAAUAGUUCACAAGCAAAUGUUUUGAGAAUUCGGAUUAUCUAGAAGACAGAGUAGAAAGAAAAACUAGAAAACGAACAUUUACAGGAAAAUAAAAACGAGAAUUGAAUGACCAGUGAGACAUUAGAAUUUGAUUGUGAAAAUAAAAUCUACAGGAUAUAUAAACGUUUUGGCAUAUGUUUUUGCAGUAAAAUCAUUUUCUUUUGGACAGUAUUAGAGCUGCUGUUGCAAUAAGCUUGACACGAGUAAGGAGUUAACAGAGUUUUAAAACUGUUAAGUCGAGAGACAGGUGUCGCCGCUUGACUGGCAGAAAGAGGCUUGAUUCCAAAGGAACCCUCACGGUGUAAGUAGCCGACACAUUUAGGCUUUAAAUAUAUAAACGACGUCUAAUAACGGCUCUCUCUAUCUCUCUCCCAAUUCAAUUUUGAAUCACAAGCUUUGGCUCUCUCUCUCUUUGUGAUUUUUGAAAUUCAAAAUUGUUUGGGUUUCUUACAGCCGCUCCGGUGCGGCCAACCACCGUUGUGGUUAGCUUCACCACAACAAGGUAAAAUCGUUAGGCUUCUCUUUUGUUUGAUACUUCCUUUCAGUUUCGGUAAUCGUCUCUACAAUUCAAUUGAAUCUCAUAGUAAUCUUUUUCUAUUUCACAUUUAGGGUGUUGAUUCCAUUUUUUUCUUUUCCAUAAUUCAAUUUCAGGUAUACUCGUGAUGGUGGGUUUCAGACGUUCAUUGGUUUGCGAUUUGAUCAUGAUUAUGUGGUAUAAUCUCGAUUAGGCCCUUCGAUUUUUCAAGGUAUGAUGAAAAGCCUAGUAAUAUGCAUGAAAUUUUAAUUCAGAUCUCUUGGGGUGUUGAGGAAUCAUGUUUGAUUGGGCCCGAAUUAUAAAGGAUUUUUUUAAUACCGUUAUUAUUGUGUAAGGUUGCCUGCUAAUUGAUUCCAUCAAAAUAAGGGUAUAUGAAAGUUUUGAAAAGACUAUGCCGAAUUAGUGACUAAAAGGUUGCCUCUUGAGAUUUAAAGCAUUAUGCAAACAUGUUGCCAUCAUUGGAAGUUGGAAUGUAACAACUCAAGUGAUUGUGUGCCCAACUUGAGGUUCCAACAACUGCUUAUUGAUGCAGUAGUGUUGGAGAAGACCACUGAUUGUUGCCUUUGAUGAAUUGUUUCCUUGUUGGUUUUUGUUCAUAAGAUUGUUGCUUUUACUGAAUUGUUGCAUUCUGUGAUUAAAAUUGUUGCCUUGUUGGAUUCUGUUGCCUUUACUGAAUUGUUGCCUUCUGUUAAUAAAAUUGAUGCUUUGCCGGUUUCUGUUCAUAAGAUUGCUGCCUUUGGGUGUAUGUUGAUAAGAUCGUUGCCUUUACUGAAGUAUUAUCUUGUCGGUUUUUGUUCAUAAGUUUGUUGCCUUUACUAAAUUGUUCCCUUGCCGGUUUCUAUAAUCAAUUUGUUGUCUUCUGUUAAUAAAAUCACUACCUUGCCGGUUUCUAUUCAUAGGAUUGCUGCCAUGUCGGUUUCUGUUGAUAGAAUCGUUGCCUUUACAAAAGUGUUGCCUUGUUAGUUUUUGUUAAUAAGUUUGUUGUCUUUACUAAAUUGUUGCCUUGUCGGUUUCUAUAAUGAAUUUGUUGCCUUUUGUCAAUAAAAUUGUUGCCUUGCCAGUUUCUGUUCAUAAGGCUGCCUAGUCGAUUUCUGUUGAUAAAAUCGUUGUCUUUACAGAAGUGUUGCCUUGUCGGUUUUUGUUCAUAAGUUUGUUGCCUUUGCUGAAUUGUUGCCUUGCCGGUUUCUAUAAUGAAUUUUUUUGUCUUUUGUUAAUAAAAUUGUUGUAUUGUCGGUUUCUGUUAAUAAGAUUUUUGCUUAGCUUUAUUGGGUGUGAUUUAUCCUAGCUUGAGGUUUUAACAGAAACCUCAUUGUUGCUUUUUAAGGAAAUAUUGGACAUAUGUUUUUGGUAUAGUGAUUAGAGGUUGAAUUUCCGGAAGUGUAACAACCUAAUCCCUACCAUUGAGAUAUUGUCCGCUUUGGGCCCACCGGCCCUCACAGUUUUGUUCUUGAGGUUUCACCCAAAAACGCGUCUCAAUGUAAAGUGCUAGCUCUGCACAUAUAAACACAACAACUUGUCUCCCCCGGGCGAUGUGGGACGGGUGCACCUACUAGGCUGCCUGCCUAGUUAAGUCACCACAAGAAGCACUAUGAUGUCCUAUUUUUCUGAUUAACCUCUUUAGGUACCUCACUUACGAACAAAAUCCCCUUUUCGAUUUUAUGCUAUGUGGAUGCACCAUGAUACUUUGAUUAUGUUUUUGAGACCCGAGUAAAGAGAUUGAAUUUGUUGGUGCAUAUUGAAUUUGUUGGUGCGUAAUGCAUUGGUCUCCACAUUUAGAGAAAGUUUGGGCUAGUCGUUGUUGCUUGUCAGUUGUUUGACAAAAUGUCCCAUAGGAAUAUAAAUUUCUUAGAUGCAGUAAUAUCGGCUAUGCCUCCAAGGGUAUGCCAAAUGAAGCAUUUGAGCUGUUUGAGAAACUGUAGAUGUGAGGGUAUUGAAAUAAGUAUUUUAACUUGGAGUACCAUAGCUGGAGGUUGAUUAAGAAUAUAAAUUAUAAAGGGUGCUCUAGAGUUGCUUUCUCAUAUGAGAGUUGGUGGUAUUUAACUGGGUUGAUAUAUGACAUUUACUGUUGAGCAUAGUUCUUCUUCGCACAUUGGAGCUAUUAUGGUAGGGAAGGAUAUAACACAGCUGACGGUCAUAUAUGAGAAUUAGAUAUAACAUAAUGAGAUGCUAUACUCUUAUCUAUGUAUAUGGUAUGGCUUAAAUGUUUGAACUGAUGGAGUACUCGUUGACAGAUAUGAUUGAAAGGGGUAGUUGCCUUCCUGAUGUUUCACAUCAGUUCUUCCAUUGAUGCGUAUGGUAUGUUUUCAUAUACCGUUAAUUGAUUUCCUCAAAAUAAGGGUAUAUGAAAGUUUCAAAAGACUAGUCGGAAUUGGUGACUAAAAGGUUGCCCCUUGAGAUUUAAAGCAUUAUGCAAACAUGUUGUCAUCCUUGGAAGUUGGAAUCUAAAUGAUUUUUUGCCCAAGUUGAGGUUCCAACAACCAACUUAUUGAUGCAGUAGUGUUGGGGGAUACUACUUAAAUUGUUCCCUUGUCAGUUAAGAUUGUUGCCUUCACUGAAAUUGUUGCCUUGUUGGUUGUUGCCUAUAUUGAAAUUGUUGCUUUACUGAAAUUCUUGCCAUGUCAAUUGCCUUUACUCAAAUUGUUGCCUUUUCGGUUAUUGCCUUUAAUGAGAUUGUUACCUUGUUUGUUGUGAUUUUUCUUAGCUUGAGUUUUAAUAAAAAAAACUCAUUGUUCCCUUUUAAGGAAAGAGUGGACAGAUGUUUUGUGAUAGUGAUCAAAGGUUGAAUGGAAGCACUAAGAUGUCCUCUUCUUCUAAUCAAUCUCUUUGGUACCUCACUUACGAACGAAAUCCCUUUUCGAUUUCAUGUCAUGUGGAUGCACCAUGUUACUUACUAUGACUAUGUUUUUCAAACCUGAGUAAAUGUAUUGAAUUUGUUGGUGCAUAUUUCAUUGGUGUCCGCAUAUAGAAAAAGUUCGGGCUCGUCGAUGUUGCUUGCCAGUUGUUUGACAAAAUGCCUCAAAGAUAUAUAAAAUUUCUUGGAAUGUAGUAAUAUCAGUUAUACCUCCAAGGGUAUGUUGAAUGAAGCAUUUGAGUUGUUUGGGAAAUUGUAGAUGUGGGGGGUACUAAAUAAGGGUACCUGCCAAUUGUGCAAGGUUGCCAGCCAAUUGAUUCCAUCAAAAUAAGGGUAUAUGAAAGUGUUUGGAUGACUAGUCGGAAUUGGUUUUGCAUCUUGAGAUUUAAAGCAUUUUGCAAACAUGUUGCCGUCAUUAGAAGUUGGAAUGUCACCACUCCAGUGAUUUUUUGCCCAACUUGAGGUUCCAAUAACAAUCUCAUUGAUGUAAUAGUGUUUAGGAGAGACUACUGAAAUUGUUGCCUUGUCGAUUUCUGUCAAUAAGAUUGUUGCCUUAUUGGUUGUGAUUCUUCCUAGCUUGAGGUUUCAAUAGACAACUCAUUGUUGCCUGGUCGGUUUCUGUUAAUAAGAAUGUUGACUUGUCGAGUUCUGUUCAUAAGAUUGUUGCCUUGUCGGUUUAUGUUCAUAUGAUUGUUGCCUUUACUGAAUUGUUGCCUUGUCGGUUUCUGUCAAUAAAAUUGUUUUCUUAUGUUAAUAAAAUUGUUGUCGUCCGUUUCUGUUCAUGUGAUUGUUGCCUAGCCUUACCGGUUAUGAUUUUUCCUAACUAGAGGUUUUAACAGAAACCUCAUUGUUGUCUUUUAUGGAAAGAUUUGAUAUGUUUUUGUGAUAGUGAGUGGAGGUUGCAUAUCCCGGAAGCACAAGGAUGUCAUUUUCUUCUGAUCAAUCUCUUUAGGUACCUAACUUACGAACUAAGCCCGUGAUACUUACAAUGUGAAUAUGUUUUUGAGACCUGAUUAAUGAGAUUGAAUUUGUUGGUGCAUAAUUCAUUGGUCUCGCAUUUAGAGAAACUUUGGGCUCGUCAAUGUUGCUCGUCAGUUGUUUGACAAAAUGCCCCAAAGGAAUAUAAAAUUUCUUGAAAUAUAGUAAUAUCCAUUAUGCCUCCAACGGUAUGUCAAAUUAAGUAUUUGAGCUGUUUGGGAAAUUGCAGAUGUUAGGUACUAAAAUAAGGAUUUUAACUUAGAGUACCAUAGCUAGAUAGAAGUUGCUUGAGAGCACAAAAUAUAAAGGGUGCUCUAGAGUUUCUUUCUCAUAUGAGAGUUGGUUAUAUUCAACUAGGCUUGGUGGCAUUUAUUGUUGGGCAUAGUGCUUGUUCCCACAUUGGGGCCAUUAAGGUAGGGAAAGAGUUUUAUGGUUCUAUAGUAAAUGCCCUAGAGGAAUAUAAAAUUUAUUGGAAUACAGUAAUAAUCGUUAUGCCUCUAAGGGUAUGUCGAUUUAAUCAUUUGAGCUGCUUGGGAAAUUGCAGAUUUUGGGUACUGAAAUAAAGAUUUUAACUUAAAGAACCAUAGAUAGAGGUUGCUUGAGAGCAUAAACUUGAGAGCAUAAAGGGUGCUCUAGAGUUGUUUUCGCAUAUGAGAGUCAGUUAUAUUCAACUUGGCUUGGUGUCAUUUACUGUUCGACAUAAUGCUUGUUCCCACAUUGGGGCCAUUAAGGUAGGGAAGAAGUUGCAUGGUUCUACAGUUCUACAGUAAAGUAAUAGACUUAUAGCUGAGAUGUCAUAUAUGAUAUAUGAGAAUUUAUAUAGCAUAGUGAGAUGCAAUACUCAUAUCGAUAGAUAUGAUGUGGCUUAAAUGUCUAAACUGAUGGAGGACUCAUUGAUAGAUAUGAUUGAAAGGGUAGUUGUCUUCCUGAUGUUUUCACAUCAAUUCUUCCAUUGAUGCGGAUGAAGUGUGGGCAAUAGAUUAGAUGGAGAUGUGGUAUGAUGAAUUUCAGCUAAUGUGAAUAUAGCCAGACCUUAAGACAGUUAAUAUCCUUAUUAGAGCAUAUGGGAAAAGAAGGAUGUAUGAAAGCAUGGAUCUGUUUUGAACUUUCAGAUACCCUUGUUAAACAGAUCUAUGUUUGUUAAACUUUUCGGCUUUACUAAUCUGAAAUGUAACAAUUCUGUAAAGAUUGCUAAUUGAUCCCAUCUGAAUAAGGGUAUCUGAAAGUUUCAAAAAUACUAGUCGAAAAUAGUCCCUAAAACGUUGCCUGUCAGAUUUAUUCUCAAAAUGCUCUUGCUACAGAAGUUCUGUGGAUUUCAAAAUCAAAGUUCAAAUUUUAUCUUCGUUGUGCAAGUUAUUCAAACGAGUUUAACAAAAUGUCUUGUGCUGUUUGUUAUGUUCCAGACCAUAGGGCAUCAUUUCUGUUUCUCCAAACAGCUCUUGUAGUUUAAAGCUUUGCAAACAUAUCAGGUGGCAUGGUGAUCUUUCGAGUAUCCAUUCUUUAAAGUUUAGAGAUGGUAUAGUAGCACCCAAGGUGAAAGGUGGAACAGUGACAAUAACAACUGGACACUUGCAGAACAAAUACACAGCAUCUAAACUUUUUGAGUACACAACGGACAAUUAAAAGCUCCUUCAUAUCUUUUCGAAUAAGACUUUCCCUUGUUGGUAGAUGGUUGUUGCAAGUAUGCCAAACACAAAUGUCUACUUCCUUGUACAUUUUAAAGCACACCUUUCCUAACAAUCCAAUAGGCAGACUUCGAUGAGUAAUGGCCUCUCUUUUCAGGGUUCUAAAUUAAUCUGUCCGGAGUAGUAUUUCUGUCUAAUGCACAAAAUAUAUUGCAGAAAAGGAAAAAGGUCAUAAACAGCUGUAGGUUUCCAUUGGUUGCAUUAUGCAUCUAUUAAGUGAUUCAAGUUUGCCACCACAUUGAUUCUUGUAUUGUUUGGUCUUAGUGCAAGGAAAGACUAUUGAGUAGGAAUCCAUUUAUCUUGCCACACAUUGACUUUGAUAGUGUCACACCCCGAAUUUUGGAUAAAUAAAAAAAUUCCAAAUUCAAGGCAUAAUAACUAAAAGAAAAACAAACUUUACAACACUUUAAUUUUACAACUUGUGAAAGAAUAAUUUGAAACAGGUAAAACCUCCCUCAAUACUCACAAAUCUAGAAAGUAAACACAAGGAACAAGCCUAACUGCCACAGCCUCAACUCUGCUAAUCCUGACCUGCAAAAACAACCUCUACACCAUGGAUUGGUGCACCGGGUUGUAAACAACAAACUCGGUAAGCUUUAAAAGCUCGUAUGAGUAAAUCUCUAAACAACAUACUCAACCCAACAACACAUAAGGUAAACACCAAGAGUUCAUGCAUUAAAAACAAAUUCAGAAAAAAACACUUACAAACAAGAGAAAUCGAAAGGAGAAAUUAAGAAAACACAACAAUUCACAAUCACUCAAAAUCAUAAAUGAAAUCCUGCAAAAAGAAUAGUUCAGGAAUUCCAUUAAAAUCACACAAUUAAACAUUAAAAAAUCUCUUACGGACAAGCAUAGUUCAGGAGAUACUCAAAGUAAGGAAUUUAAAUCACAUCACAUAAGAACAUUACCAAAUCAUUUCUCUACUCUUACUUAUGAGUUUGUCAACGCAUAGUCAUCCCCCAUAAGUAACUAGACAAACACGUACUUAUGGGUUCGUCAACACUUAGUCAUCCCCCAUGAAGUACCGACUGACAGACUAGAGCUCUAUACUGACCGUAACCAAUCACCCGGCUAAGGCUUGGUUCCCGGUCCACCACGAAGGCUCCUAAUCUAAUGCACACAAUCACCACUAAGGCACAACCACAACGAAUGCACAACAAUCACCACGAAGGCACAUAUUCUUUUACUCUCCCAUCAUAACACUUAUCAAUCACAAAAUAAUAAUAUCAUCAUAACCGUAACCAAUCACCCGAUUAAAGGCUUGGAACCCGGUUUGACUAUUCAAACAUCAAUUCAACAUCACACUAACACAUUAUCAUAACGUGUCUUUCACACAUAAACACGUGGAUAUAAAUAUUUUAAAACAAGAAUAAUUCUACCAACUCUAAUUAUUACUCAUGAUCGGAAGUCCUUUUGAAAGAUUAUACUAUUAACAGAAAACUUGUUUUCACUUACCAUGAGCCGUUGACGAUCAAGCUCAUUUAUAUUUAAAAACAAAAUCAUUUUCUUUCAAGGACAACUUCACAAUUAGCAAUAAUUAUCAUCAUCAUCAAAAUCACCAUCAUAAUCAUCAUCAAAAUCAACAUCACAAUCAUCAUCAAAUCAUCAUCAAAUCAACAUCACAAUCAUCAUCAAAUCAUGAUCAAAAUCAACAUCAAAAUCAUCAUCAAAUCAUCAUCAAAAUCAACAUCACAAUCAUCAUCAAAUCAUCAUCAAAAUAAGUAGGCCACAAAGUGGACCUUGGUGAGAUUUUACUCACCUUAACUCCCGCUGCGUCUUCAUAAGCACAAACGCAAGCGUCUAUCUCAAAGGCAACUCCACAAGUCACCCUAAUUAACACAAAUAUUAACCUUAGUAACCAAACAAACUAAGAGUAACAUUUGCCCAAAGGAGGGUAACUCUCCUUCAAGACCUCCCAAG
rnacentral:lncRNA from 1 species